GUCAACUCUUUGCGCUGAUAGGUUUAAAUUGCUGCCCUGCAGAGGGCCUGCUUUAGCCUGGCCGGUGGUUGACUGGAGUCUGAGGCCAUGAGCACUGUCGCUGUGACUCGGGCGGCCGCGGGACCAGCCUCUAGGCCAGCUUCCUGCCUCACUCCGCCGAGAAUUGGACCGACAGAUCCCCUUCGCCCCCGAACCAAAAUGACAGCAGAUCUCAUACGCGCGACUCCAGCCACAGCCGAGUCUCUGUUCUUGAACUAGGCAGACUUCUUCAUUCUGUCCCUCUGCUGGAGUAACUGCCCAUCUCUCAGGCUGCCUGGCUAUCAGAGUUCCUUGACAGCUGGUCCCCUUCAAGCACACUAACGUCUGUCCAGUGUUUACCUCUUUUAUAGCACUGUGGGCUGUGCAAAUUAAAUGAGUUUGUUAUCAGCA
rnacentral:lncRNA from 1 species